rnacentral:ncRNA from 1 species
AUAUAAACUUUGAACGGCCUAGUAAAUUUUAAAUCGGGUUUUAGAGAGCGGUGAUUGGUGAGAAAUCGCCCCGAUUAAUUUUGAAUUUCAGCCGGGAGUUGAUUAAUUGAUAAGAUUAAUCCGGUUCAUUCUCGUUAUUGAAUGCCGUAAGUGUUAGGUUUUUGGCCUGACAAAACUUGGGUGGUACCACGUUAAUUAGACGUCCCUUUG